UCCGGUUUGUCACCGGCAGUCUCGCAUGAGUCCCCAACUAAAUGCUGGCAACAUACGACGGGGGUUGCGCUCGUUGCGGGACUUAACCCAACAUCUCACGACACGAGCUGACGACAGCCAUGCACCACCUGUGAUCCUGCCCGUGAGGGAAGCCCUGUUUCCAGGGCGGUCAGGAACAUGUCAAACCCAGGUAAGGUGGGGAUGACGUUUGCGUAACAGA
rnacentral:misc_RNA from 1 species